GAGUUGUUUGCUCAGUGGUAGAGUACAUGCUUUAUAUAUAUGAUGUGCUGGGUUCAGUCCCAACCAGGUCC